rnacentral:rRNA from 1 species
AUUGAACGCUGGCGGCAUGCCUUACACAUGCAAGUCGAACGGCAGCACGGGUGCUUGCACCUGGUGGCGAGUGGCGAACGGGUGAGUAAUACAUCGGAACGUACCUUAUCGUGGGGGAUAACGCAGCGAAAGCUGUGCUAAUACCGCAUACGCCCUGAGGGGGAAAGCGGGGGAUCGCAAGACCUCGCGCGAUUAGAGCGGCCGAUGCCUGAUUAGCUUGUUGGUGGGGUAAAAGCCCACCAAGGCGACGAUCAGUAGCUGGUCUGAGAGGACGAUCAGCCACACUGGGACUGGGACACGGCCCAGACUCCUACGGGAGGCAGCAGUGGGGAAUUUUGGACAAUGGGGGCAGCCCUGAUCCAGCAAUGCCGCGUGAGUGAAGAAGGCCUUCGGGUUGUAAAGCUCUUUUGUCCGGGAAGAAACACCGGCUCUAACACAGUCCGGGAAUGACGGUACCUGAAGAAUAAGCACCGGCUAACUACGUGCCAGCCGCCGCGGUAA